rnacentral:rRNA from 1 species
GAUGAACGCUGGCGGCGUGCCUAAUACAUGCAAGUCGAGCGAAUGGAUUAAGAGCUUGCUCUUAUGAAGUUAGCGGCGGACGGGUGAGUAACACGUGGGUAACCUGCCCAUAAGACUGGGAUUACUCCGGGAAACCGGGGCUAAUACCGGAUAACAUUUUGAACCGCAUGGUUCGAAAUUGAAAGGCGGCUUCGGCUGUCACUUAUGGAUGGACCCGCGUCGCAUUAGCUAGUUGGUGAGGUAACGGCUCACCAAGGCAACGAUGCGUAGCAGACCUGAGAGGGUGAUCGGCCACACUGGGACUGAGACACGGCCCAGACUCCUACGGGAGGCAGCAGUAGGGAAUCUUCCGCAAGGGACGAAAGUCUGACGGAGCAACGCCGCGUGAGUGAUGAAGGCUUUCGGGUCGUAAACUCUGUUGUUAGGGAAGAACAAGUGCUAGUUGAAUAAGCUGGCACCUUGACGGUACCUAACCAGAAAGCCACGGCUAACUACGUGCCAGCCGCCGCAGUAA